GCCCCUGUAGCUCAGCAAGCGCAGAGCGCUUCCCAGCGAGGGAGGAGGUCGACGGUUCCAAUCCGUCCAUGGGUG
rnacentral:tRNA from 1 species